GCCUAGGGCCAUACUAUGAACACGCCCGAUCUCGUCUGAUCUCGGAAGCCAAGCAGAGUCAGGCCUGGUUAGUACUUGGAUGGGAGACCGCCUGGGAAUACCAGGUGCUGUAGGCU
rnacentral:rRNA from 1 species